UACAGAGGUGGCAAGCGUUGUUCGGAAUUACUGGGCGUAAAGGGCGCGUAGGCGGUCUUGUAAGUCUUGUGUGAAAUCCCUCGGCUUAACUGAGGAACUGCACGGGAUACUGCGAGACUUGAGAUCGGGAGAGGGAAGCGGAAUUCCGGGUGUAGCGGUGAAAUGCGCAGAUAUCAGGAAGAACACCAAUGGCGAAGGCAGCUCUCUGGGACGGUACUGACACUGAGACGCGAAAGCGUGGGGAGCGAACAGG
rnacentral:rRNA from 1 species